GAGUGGCGAACGGGUGAGUAACGCGUGAGGAACCUGCCUCAAAGAGGGGGACAACAGUUGGAAACGACUGCUAAUACCACAUAAGCCCACAGGUCGGCAUCGACCAGAGGGAAAAGGAGCAAUCCGCUUUGAGAUGGCCUCGCGUCCGAUUAGCUAGUUGGUGAGGUAACGGCCCACCAAGGCAACGAUCGGUAGCCGGACUGAGAGGUUGAACGGCCACAUUGGGACUGAGACACGGCCCAGACUCCUACGGGAGGCAGCAGUGGGGAAUAUUGCACAAUGGGGGAAACCCUGAUGCAGCAACGCCGCGUGAAGGAAGACGGUUUUCGGAUUGUAAACUUCUGUUCUUAGUGAAGAAUAAUGACGGUAGCUAAGGAGCAAGCCACGGCUAACUACGUGCCAGCAGCCGCGGUAAUACGUAGGUGGCAAGCGUUGUCCGGAAUUACUGGGUGUAAAGGGAGCGUAGGCGGGAUGCCAAGUCAGCUGUGAAAACUAUGGGCUUAACCCGUAGACUGCAGUUGAAACUGGUAUUCUUGAGUGAAGUAGAGGUUGGCGGAAUUCCGAGUGUAGCGGUGAAAUGCGUAGAUAUUCGGAGGAACACCGGUGGCGAAGGCGGCCAACUGGGCUUUAACUGACGCUGAGGCUCGAAAGUGUGGGGAGCAAACAGGAUUAGAUACCCUGGUAGUCCACACUGUAAACGAUGAUAACUAGGUGUGGGGGGUCUGACCCCUUCCGUGCCGCAGCUAACGCAAUAAGUUAUCCACCUGGGGAGUACGACCGCAAGGUUGAAACUCAAAGGAAUUGACGGGGGGACCCGCACAAGCAGUGGAUUAUGUGGUUUAAUUCGAAGCAACGCGAAGAACCUUACCAGCACUUGACAUCCGACUAACGAAGUAGAGAUACAUUAGGUGCCCUUCGGGGAAAGUCGAGACAGGUGGUGCAUGGUUGUUGUCAGCUCGUGUCGUGAGAUGUUGGGUUAAGUCCCGCAACGAGCGCAACCCCUGCCAUUAGUUGCUACGCAAGAGCACUCUAAUGGGACCGCUACCGACAAGGUGGAGGAAGGUGGGGACGACGUCAAAUCAUCAUGCCCCUUAUGUGCUGGGCUACACACGUAAUACAAUGGCCAUCAACAAAGAGAAGCAAUACCGCGAGGUGGAGCAAAACUUCAAAAAUGGUCUCAGUUCGGACUGCAGGCUGCAACCCGCCUGCACGAAGUUGGAAUUGCUAGUAAUCGUGGAUCAGCAUGCCACGGUGAAUACGUUCCCGGGUCUUGUACUCACCGCCCGUCA
rnacentral:rRNA from 1 species